AUGGCCAGUGCCAAGAGACUUGCUCAAUUGGCGAAGAAGUUGCAGAGGGUGGAAGCACUUGGGAGGAAGAGGCUCACGGUGUCAGCCAAAGAAGAUCAAGACUGCUACAGUUCUGUACCAGCCAAGGGCCACUGUGUCAUGUAUAUGGUCGAUGGGACGCGUUUUGAGGUCCCGUUGGAGUACCUCAGCACGACCGUGUUCGGCGAGCUCCUGAGGAUGUCCCAGGAGGAGUUUGGCUUUGCGAGCGAUGGCAAGAUCACACUGCCCUGUGAUGCUGCAGUGAUGGAGUAUGCCAUGUACUUGCUGUCGAGAGUGCAUUGCUGA
rnacentral:rRNA from 1 species